CCACAGCACUGUAAAGAACAAAACAUUUUCAGGCAGCGUUUCUAUGCACAAUACUUUAUGUCUUCAUGUAGGCAGGUUAUCCUAUAAUUAGUGUUCCGCGUUUCCGGUUAUUAACAACGUCGGUUUUUUUAUGAUUUUUGUCUAUUAUUCAAUAUUUUCCCGGUUCUGUUUUCUAGCAAAUACACAAUAUUUUGAUUAAAUGCCGUUUUAUUUUAACUUAAUAACGGAAAACUGACCUGAAGCAGCACCCAGCAACCGAUGGACAUAAGAAAAAACACACAGAUCAAAGAUUAUCCUCCAUACCGGAAAAGCUACUGCUACAACAAAAACCGAAGCUGUUCCCUUUUUGUUAUGGGCACUUGCUAAGGACUGGUUCGGCACAGGAAUGAAACAACACAUAAGUUCAAUCAAGAUGUAAAUCGCAACAGGAUGCAUUGGUCCUACUGUAGGCUAUCUGUCCACAACAACUCAGGCCUCCACCAGGGGAAACAUAGCCAUGGCAACAGGUGUGGCUACUGGGGUCAAAGGUCUUGUUGCCACAGCACUGAGCAUCGGGAGAUCCAGAGAUCUGGUGUGCAACUGAGGCGAGAGACUGCAGGCAGAAGAAGGGAAAUUUGAACUGCUUGCGGCAAACUGUAACAUCGACGGAUACAUACUGGCAGCAUCAAGUCCCGUCAAAGUUCUAACGUCUAUACACCUGCCCUGCAACUCUUUUUUUUCAAGAAAUGUAAGGGGGAAGUGCAAGAAUGACCCAGAUGUCAUGGUAUGAACUGUAGUUGCUGAUAUAAAUCAAAUAAUUGAUUUUGAUGAAGUAUAUUUGAGCUGUUUGGAUCACUGUCUUAAGUGCCGAUUUAACCCGUUUAGGUACGCAAGGAAUCGAGCUGUUCAGUUGGUUUCCUCUUAAAAUACAUUUGAGAGUGACUCGAGGAGGAAACUGGCAAUUUGAUCCAACCUGUCAGUACGCUCUAAACCCUGUUUCAUGUACCUCCUCACUGCAAAAAUAAAAAAGGCAGCGUCAUUUCAUUUGUGGGACACAUAUUUCCCUUUUCUUUUAAAGAGUUUGGAGUUGCGAUGCACCAGGGUUCGGUUUCGGAUUUGGCCCGAAAACCUACUUUUUGAGCAGGAUUCGGAAUCCGAAUCUUAUAUCUUCCCAGACGCACAUCCAUUUUAAUACAUCCCGCCAAUGUGUGCAGUUCUUCUUUAAAUAAAAGACACGACUCCGGCAUUGAACAUAACUUAAUUUAAUUUAAUAACACGAACACGUUUGAUGAACUCUGUCGCAGAUUUCGACUCCAUAAAUUACUGGUGGCACACGCACUAAACAAGUCAAGUUUUGCAGUAAACUUGUAAUAUAUAGUAACGGCAAACUGUUGUAGACUUUUGUGCUUUGUCUGUCAAACGUGUUCUAGAGAUCUUACUGAGAUUAAUAAUAAUAAUAAUAAUAAUAAUAAUAAUAAUAAUAAUAAUAAUAAUAAUAGGUGCACAGAAAUAUAUAUUUUUUGUAACUUUACAACUGUCAGAUGUGCAAGACGUUGCAAUAUGCUUUAGUAAAUUAAAUUACGUUAUUGUGCAUUUAAAUCAACGUGGGUUUCAUUUCGCAGUGAGAUUCAGGUCACUCAUCACGGUAAUUUUUUUCCUCGUAGCUCUCAGAUUGGGUUGUCAACAGGCUCCAGAAUCUCGGGACACUGCAAUGUAUUCGACAUGUAAAGUGAGCGUGAAUUGCUUGAGCUGUUUAGUAAAUAUAUGUAAUUGUUUAAUUGUGGUGGCGAUUCUAUCCAGAGAGCCUUGUAACAACGAUUAAUCGUAUUGCUUGAAUUUAUACAGUAAAUAACAUCUAUCAAACUUGCGCAACACCAUUAUUAUAGAUAGCUUUGCACUCACCUGCACUCUCAUUUAACCUUGUGGCAGCAGGUAAAGUUUCUAUUUGUUUAAUAUGUCUUGCUUCACACAGUCCCGCCCAGUCAGAGACCCAGAAAGCCAAUCAGCUGCUGUAUAGGUCUGAUUGAUGGAAACGAUCCUCGCAGGCAGGUGUGUGCUUUUGGUAACAACUAAGUAAAACAACUCAAUUAAUUUAGCGACAGUUCGCACAAUUCACACUCACUUUACUGAAUACACUGCAGUUCAGAGAGGUUACAAAACCUGACCUGUCUUAAAGUGUCCCGAGAUUCUGGAGCCUGUUGGCAACCCUACUCUCAGAUCAGGUGACACAGGUUGAAACAUCAUUAAACAAAAUAGAGGGUUAUGGCAGCUCUCCUUUCUUGUAAAGGUAAAGUAAACGGUUCUGUAUUUUGACGUUUCUAUUGUUGGGGGGCUAGCGGUAAAUUGUGUAAGUUUCAAACUGAAAUCUUAUUCAGGGAUAGAUUUCCAUUCGGUAAUAAAAAUACUAUUAGCUAAAAGGCUCAAAACUAUAGAUUGUGCGCGUCCCUUGUAAGUAGCUGUCAGUCUGUUUUUCAUUCAAGUUUCCUUCAGUUCUUUCUUGACAGUUUUUGUAGAUUCGGUAUUCGGCCGAAUCUUUUGAGAUAGAUUUGGUAUUCUGCCGAAUCCCAAAAACUUGGAUUCGGUGCGUCCCUAUUAGGAGCUACAAGCGACUGCCCAGUCCUUGACCACAUUCCGGCGCCUCCUUAAGACUCACCUCUUCAAACAGCACCUGUAGAACUCCUCUGUUUGUAUCCUGGGACACUAUCACCCUUCAUGUAAAUGUGCUUUAUUUUGCUCUUAUCUGCCCCCUAUUUUACUGCAUUUAAUCCUGUACUUCAGAAUACUGUAAUCUGCCAAGUACUUAACCUGUAGUACUUUGUAUUUAAUCAUAUCCUGAUGUAACUAUCACUAUUUAAUCAUAUCCUGAUGUAACUAUCACUAUUAUCUGCUGUAUUAUUGAAUUGUGGUUUGUCACACUUGUACUUUGCUUGAACAAAUGUUAUUGUAUUUCUUGCUCUUAUUGUAUUACUUGUAUUGUAACACUUGAAAUGUGUUUGCUUACGAUUGUAAGUCGCCCUGGAUAAGGGUGUCUGCUAAGAAAUAAAUAAUAAUAAUAAUAAUAAUAAUACAAGGUUCUCUGGUAAUUGUUAGAAGUCCUACACGCAAAUUAUGAAAUGUGUUUGCCAAGCUGUAGUUUGUUUGAUUUGAGAAAUAAUUAAUGGAAUGGGGCAACUGGAAAGCUUAACAGUGUUACCAGCUCUCUCAAUCACAAUUUCCCAAACCCUCAUUCAAAACAUGUUCAGCAGAAAAGAACAAUGGAAAAAGAGCCCUAAACACACUAAUUAGAAUGAGGAGGUGAGUUUAUACCUAGCACUCUCUCAGAGAGAGGGCAGUCAUAAUGUUGAUGUAAUGAUGAUGAUGAUGAUUAAUAUUUAUUACGCAUUAAUAAAAACAAUAAUGUGUAUUUUAUCCUCCUCCUUCCUCGUUACUAAUGUCCUAUUGUCAGUACUUGGGUGUGUUCUACACUCCAUAAAAACACCGCCUACAAAUGUUUGAGAUCAACAUAAGAACGGCCUUUUCAGUAGCAGAGAAGGAGAGCUGAGAGGCAGGCAGGAGGCAUUCUUGCUGGGAGGGGGUUUAAGCAGCAAGUGCGCGCAUUUGUAGAUUUCACAUGGUCAAGUUAUUUUUGUAAAUCAGUAACUGCCGUUAUGGAAUUUCUUCGGAUUCCCUCUGAUUUUUCUAACAGCUUUCUGGAUUGAAGCUUUAUGUUUUAUUUUGGAUAGUAAUGGUUCUAAGAUUUACCUCUGAAUCCUGAUAAGUAUAUCCACUGUUUUCUAGUUUUUGCCUAAUACAUUUGCUCCUUGCUUAUGCCCUUUCUUUGAAGGUAUUUGUUUUUACAGUGUAAACUGAUCUUGGUUUUGGUACUGAGAGUUAUUUGAAGUAAACACUGGUCUAGCAAUUGUAGUCAUUCAGAACUAAUUAAAGAUUAUUACAUUUUUAUUGGUUUCCAUACCAAUUAGGAAUAUUAAGUAUAAAAUGUAUAUAUUUGAGUUGAAUAUUAAAAAAGAGGGGGAUUUCUUCAUGCAUGUGUUCAUGUUUCUUUUAUUUGGAUUUAGUUAUAUGUGUUCCUUUAUUUGAUUUUUAGGUAAUCAUUAAUGCAUAUUAAGUUACAAUCUCAUGCCUGAAGGUCACACAAAAGGAACGGCAAUGCUUGGAAAACUGAAGAAAAUGUGUAGUGUAUUUUGCGAAAGUUUUUUUUUUAUAUAAUAAAUGAUUUGCCAGGUGAUGUUUGAAUGUGCUUCUAUUCCCUUAAAUACAUUGCACCUUUAAAUUGUUUUUUUUAAAUGCGCUGCCUCUGAGUUAGUGUCUACAGCAGCUCGCUUCAUUCAAAUAUUGCCGAUUGCAAUAAAACUGUCAACUGAAAAGAUCCACCUCGUUAAAUCCCAGCUAACGUGCUGGUUACUGGCAUGCACCUGACACUGUGGUUCCGAGAUUAUCUUGGAGCUCCACGUAUCACCUCACCACAGUGCAAAUCAGCCAAGUAAAAGUGUUUUUUUCUUUUACUGUUUGAAUAAUACAUAUUAUGAAAAAGGGAUUUUUAAAGGCUGUGUUAUAUACAUAAAGAUAUGUGGUGCUAUAGUGCAUGCUUUAUAAUGGUUAUAACUUUACAGCUACGGCCAAAAGUUUUGCAUCCCCGGGGGAGGGGGCGCUCCUGAGUGGCGCAUCUAGUAAAAGCUUUCUUGUGUUCCUACAUUUAUACAGCGUUUUUG